rnacentral:rRNA from 1 species
GAUUCCACCGCGAGUUGCAGUUGGACCGGCCGAAGUUGACCGAACUUGAUGAUUUAGAGGAAGUAAAAGUCGUAACAAGGUUUCCGUAGGUGAACCUGCGGAAGGAUCAUUACCGAUCCUCGGGAGAGACAGUUGUGUUGGGACGUGCCCGUUCGGCGCGCGCCACCGAUCUGCCGUACGCUUGCUGAGAUCCCCUCGACCGGGGUGAGCUUGCGUGCACAUAGGCGGGUCGCGGCGCGCGUUGGGCACGUUGGCUACCACCGGGUUAACCUACACCAUGCCACGCGGACCUGCCGUACGCUUGCCGAGAUCCCCUCGCACGGGGUGAGCUUGCGUGCACAUAGGCGGGUCGAGGUGGACGGUAAGCCCCCAGGGCGUUUGGUCCCGGUGUACGCCUGCUGCGGUCCGCCGUGGUCCCUCGGGAGAGAGCGUUGAGUUGAACAUGUCACAAUCCGACAGGAAACCGCACACACAAAGCAAAGACUGGGUAACUAGAGGUCUAGCGUAUGCCUCACUAGGGCAAGUCCGAUCCGUUCACCACAUACACAACCAAGCAUGCAAUUCGGGUUUAGAGGAAGCGUAUACCUCUCGAAGGCAAGUCUGAUUCUAGGCGCUAGCCACGUACGCGAUCGCUCGGAGAACUCUCCUACCACCAACAGUCGUAGCACGCCACUACGACUAGUCGUAGCACGCCACUACGACUUAGCAGCCGACGGUAAUAGCCCUCUAUUCGGUAGUGAGGGGUCGCUCUUGGGUGGUCGCAUUCGUACGGUGGUGGUGACGCGCCGCAACUGCAAGGUGUCCAAAGGUCAAGCAUGCGUGUAUCGUGGUGAACAAACAAUCAAGUAGCGUAUAUUAAAAUGCCGACCGGCCAGCAGCCAGCAAGCAGCAAGUAGAGCAUCUCCGCGCGCGCCCCAUGAGAACGGUGUCCAAAUAUGGUGUUACCAGGUGUCCAAAGGUCAGAAAACGGUGUCCAAAGGUCAGAAAACGGUGUCCAAAGGUCAGAAAACGGUGUCCAAAGGUCAGAAAACGGUGUCCAAAGGUCUAACAUUUUCGGGGCAUGGAGCGCAAAGUCGGAGAUUGCUUUACAACGCCGCUGCUACUGCUGGUACGGUCACAUGAAACAGGGGAAAACGCUCACUUCGGGUCGCCAGACCCUCGAGCGUGUGUGUGUGUGUGUAUGUGACUCAACUCAACAGACCGGGAACGCGGGCGGUUGUGGCCCGGGUGCCUUCGCGGCACCAGAACACUUCAAAAGCCAAACAUUAGGAACUCUCAAUACCCUAGGCAGGGGAUCACUCGGCUCAUGGAUCGAUGAAGACCGCAGCUAAAUGCGCGUCAGAAUGUGAACUGCAGGACACAUGAACAUCGACACGUUGAACGCAUAUGGCGCAUCGGCUCGCCUCAAAACGACCGAUGCACACAUCCUUGAGUGUCUACUUACGUUGAAUGCAAACACCGCCAAACAAUCCGUUGCCCGCUCCCGCACACCAAACGGGGACUCCGCUCGACCGCGGCCCCGGCGGGGAAAAGGCUUCGGUGCGUUUACUCGACUACGGCAUGCCGCGCGGACCUUGCCGCGUCCGCUCCUGGAUCCCCUCGCACGGGGUGACGAGAGCGGGCGCACACAGGCGGGUCGAGGCGGACGCCGUGCAUAAGGGCGUGCUGGGCGUGGCUUCGCGCCGCCCCAGGGCGCUGGUUUGGUGUGUAUUGCGAGAGAGCGGGAUCGAGUGGGGCGGCCGUCACUGGCCCCUGCACGCGCACGACGCGCGUGGUCUCUCUGGGUCGCGUAGCUGUUGCGCCGAGCAGCCUUCCGAGGUCUGCCCGCGCCGGAUGCUUGCGACCGCCACCACGCAGAGAGAGCCACCAACUGUCGUGCGGUCGGUGCCUGUAAGGUUCAGACAGUGCACGCGCCUGCCCCCAGUGAUCUCGCUCGCGACCCACAUGCACACGCUGCCGCGCAACCGGCCCUCGGUGACGAGGUGCACGAGCAACCGGCCUUUCAACGUAGACCUCAGGUGAUGUGUGGUAACCCCCGGAAUUUAAGCAUAUUAAUAAGGGGAGGAAGAGAAACCAACCGGGAUUCCCUGAGUAGCUGCGAGCGAAACGG